UUACGGCCACAUCACGUUGAAACACCAUCUCCCGUACGAUCACCAAAGUUAAGCAACGUAGAGACUAGUCAGUAGCUAGAUGGUUAACCCCUUGAGAAUACCGGUGGUG